GUAUCAACAUGCUACAUUGAACAACGGACUAGAAGAUUCUGAUAAUAAUAAUGGUUUUAUGCAAUAUGGCAGUAUAUUAGUAGAUCACUCAAGGCAUGCUGAGACAUUUAUUAACAUUUUUGGAAUUUGGGAAAGUUUCAACAUCUUACAUUGAACAUGGACAUGAAGAUUCUGAUAAUAAUAAUGAUUUUAUGCAAUGUACUUGUAAUGAAUAUAAAAUAUGAUUGUAAGGCAGAUCACUUGAUGCAUGCUGAGACUGGAAUUCACAUUCCUACCACUUGGGAAAGUAUCAACAUCCUACAUUGAACAACGGACUAGAAGAUUCUGAUAAUAAUAAUGGUUUUAUGCAAUAUGGCAGUAUAUUAGUAGAUCACUCAAGGCAUGCUGAGACAUUUAUUAACAUUUUUGGAAUUUGGGAAAGUUUCAACAUCUUACAUUGAACAUGGACAUGAAGAUUCUGAUAAUAAUAAUGAUUUUAUGCAAUGUACUUGUAAUGAAUAUAAAAUAUGAUUGUAAGGCAGAUCACUUGAUGCAUGCUGAGACUGGAAUUCACAUUCCUACCACUUGGGAAAGUAUCAACAUCCUACAUUGAACAACGGACUUGAAGAUUCUGAUAAUAAUAAUGGUUUUAUGCAAUAUGGCAGUAUAUUAGUAGAUCACUCAAGGCAUGCUGAGACAUUUAUUAACAUUUUUGGAAUUUGGGAAAGUUUCAACAUCUUACAUUGAACAUGGACAUGAAGAUUCUGAUAAUAAUAAUGAUUUUAUGCAAUGUACUUGUAAUGAAUAUAAAAUAUGAUUGUAAGGCAGAUCACUUGAUGCAUGCUGAGACUGGAAUUCACAUUCCUACCACUUGGGAAAGUAUCAACACCCUACAUUGAACAACGGACUAGAAGAUUCUGAUAAUAAUAAUGGUUUUAUGCAAUAUGGCAGUAUAUUAGUAGAUCACUCAAGGCAUGCUGAGACAUUUAUUAACAUUUUUGGAAUUUGGGAAAGUUUCAACAUCUUACAUUGAACAUGGACAUGAAGAUUCUGAUAAUAAUAAUGAUUUUAUGCAAUGUACUUGUAAUGAAUAUAAAAUAUGAUUGUAAGGCAGAUCACUUGAUGCAUGCUGAGACUGGAAUUCACAUUCCUACCACUUGGGAAAGUAUCAACAUCCUACAUUGAACAACGGACUUGAAGAUUCUGAUAAUAAUAAUGGUUUUAUGCAAUAUGGCAGUAUAAUAGUAGAUCACUCAAGGCAUGCUGAAACAUUUAUUAACAUUUUUGGAAUUUGGGAAAGUUUCAACAUCUUACAUUGAACAUGGACAUGAAGUUUCUGAUAAUAAUAAUGAUUUUAUGCAAUGUACUUGUAAUGAAUAUAAAAUAUGGUUGUAAGGCAGAUCACUUGAUGCAUGCUGAGACUGGAAUUCACAUUCCUACCACUUGGGAAAGUAUCAACAUCCUACAUUGAACAACGGACUUGAAGAUUCUGAUAAUAAUAAUGGUUUUAUGCAAUAUGGCAGUAUAUUAGUAGAUCACUCAAGGCAUGCUGAGACAUUUAUUAACAUUUUUGGAAUUUGGGAAAGUUUCAACAUCUUACAUUGAACAUGGACAUGAAGAUUCUGAUAAUAAUAAUGAUUUUAUGCAAUGUACUUGUAAUGAAUAUAAAAUAUGAUUGUAAGGCAGAUCACUUGAUGCAUGCUGAGACUGGAAUUCACAUUCCUACCACUUGGGAAAGUAUCAACACCCUACAUUGAACAACGGACUAGAAGAUUCUGAUAAUAAUAAUGGUUUUAUGCAAUAUGGCAGUAUAUUAGUAGAUCACUCAAGGCAUGCUGAGACAUUUAUUAACAUUUUUGGAAUUUGGGAAAGUUUCAACAUCUUACAUUGAACAUGGACAUGAAGAUUCUGAUAAUAAUAAUGAUUUUAUGCAAUGUACUUGUAAUGAAUAUAAAAUAUGAUUGUAAGGCAGAUCACUUGAUGCAUGCUGAGACUGGAAUUCACAUUCCUACCACUUGGGAAAGUAUCAACAUGCUACAUUGAACAACGGACUAGAAGAUUCUGAUAAUAAUAAUGGUUUUAUGCAAUAUGGCAGUAUAUUAGUAGAUCACUCAAGGCAUGCUGAGACAUUUAUUAACAUUUUUGGAAUUUGGGAAAGUUUCAACAUCUUACAUUGAACAUGGACAUGAAGAUUCUGAUAAUAAUAAUGAUUUUAUGCAAUGUACUUGUAAUGAAUAUAAAAUAUGAUUGUAAGGCAGAUCACUUGAUGCAUGCUGAGACUGGAAUUCACAUUCCUACCACUUGGGAAAGUAUCAACAUCCUACAUUGAACAACGGACUAGAAGAUUCUGAUAAUAAUAAUGGUUUUAUGCAAUGUACGUGUAAUGAAUAUAGAAUAUGGCAGUAUAUUAGUAGAUCACUCAAGGCAUGCUGAGACAUUUAUUAACAUUUUUGGAAUUUGGGAAAGUUUCAACAUCUUACAUUGAACAUGGACAUGAAGAUUCUGAUAAUAAUAAUGAUUUUAUGCAAUGUACUUGUAAUGAAUAUAAAAUAUGAUUGUAAGGCAGAUCACUUGAUGCAUGCUGAGACUGGAAUUCACAUUCCUACCACUUGGGAAAGUAUCAACAUGCUACAUUGAACAACGGACUUGAAGAUUCUGAUAAUAAUAAUGGUUUUAUGCAAUAUGGCAGUAUAAUAUUAGAUCACUGAAGGCAUGCUGAGACAUUUAUUAACAAUUUUGGAAUUUGGGAAAGUUUCAACAUCUUACAUUGAACAUGGACAUGAAGAUUCUGAUAAUAAUAAUGAUUUUAUGCAAUGUACUUGUUAUGAAUAUAAAAUGUAAUUGAUAGUAAAUUAAUAGUAGUGUAACAAUUGAAAUUUGUUAAAAAUAUGAAUAUAGUAUUGGUAAUCAAA